UACAGGGGGGGCAAGCGUUGUUCGGAAUUACUGGGCGUAAAGGGUUCGUAGGCGGCCAACUAAGUCAUACGUGAAAUCCCUCAGCUUAACUGGGGAACUGCGCCUGAUACUGGUUGGCUUGAGUGCAGGAGAGGAACGCGGAAUUCCAGGUGUAGCGGUGAAAUGCGUAGAUAUCUGGAGGAACACCGGUGGCGAAGGCGGCGUUCUGGACUGCAACUGACACUGAGGAACGAAAGCCAGGGGAGCAAACGGG
rnacentral:rRNA from 1 species